AUUGAACGCUGGCGGCAUGCUUUACACAUGCAAGUCGAACGGUAACAGGUCUUCGGAUGCUGACGAGUGGCGAACGGGUGAGUAAUACAUCGGAACGUGCCUAGUAGUGGGGGAUAACUACUCGAAAGAGUAGCUAAUACCGCAUGAGAUCUACGGAUGAAAGCAGGGGACCUUCGGGCCUUGUGCUACUAGAGCGGCUGAUGGCAGAUUAGGUAGUUGGUGGGGUAAAGGCUCACCAAGCCUGCGAUCUGUAGCUGGUGUGAGAGGACGACCAGCCACACUGGGAGUGAGCCACGGCCCAGACUCCUACGGGAGGCAGCAGUGGGGAAUUUUGGACAAGGGGCGAAAGCCGGAUUCAGCAAUGCCGCGUGCAGGAUGAAGGCCCUCGGGUUGUAAACUGCUUUUGUACGGAACGAAAAGCCUGGGGCUAAUAUCCCCGGGUCAUGACGGUACCGUAAGAAUAAGCACCGGCUAACUACGUGCCAGCCGCCGCCGUAA
rnacentral:rRNA from 1 species